UGGGGAAUUGUUCGCAAUGGGCGCAAGCCUGACGACGCAACGCUGCGUGGAGGAUGAAGAUCUUCGGGUCGUGAACUCCUUUCGAUCGAGAAGAAUGCCUCCGGGGUUAAUACUCCUGGAGGGUGACGGUGUCGAGAGAAGAAGCCCCGGCUAACUCUGUGCCAGCAGCCGCGGUAAUACAGGGGGGGCAAGCGUUGUUCGGAAUUACUGGGCGUAAAGGGCCAGUAGGCGGCCAACUAAGUCACACGUGAAAUCCCCAGGCUUAACCUGGGAACUGCGUGUGAUACUGGAUGGCUUGAAUUCGGGAGAGGGAUGCAGAAUUCCAGGUGUAGCGGUGAAAUGCGUAGAUAUCUGGAGGAAUACCGGUGGCGAAGGCGGCAUCCUGGACCGAGAUUGACGCUGAACGGCGAAAGCUAGGGGAGCAAAC
rnacentral:rRNA from 1 species